UCCGUAGGGGGCAAGCGUUGUCCGGAAUCAUUGGGCGUAAAGAGCGUGUAGGCGGCCAGCUAAGUCCGCUGUGAAAUCUCGAGGCUCAACUUCGAGCUGUCGGUGGAAACUGUCUGGCUAGAGUCCGGAAGAGGAGAAUGGAAUUCCUGGUGUAGCGGUGAAAUGCGCAGAUAUCAGGAAGAACACCCGUGGCGAAGGCGGUUCUCUGGGACGGUACUGACGCUGAGACGCGAAAGCGUGGGGAGCGAACAGG
rnacentral:rRNA from 1 species